UAGGGAAUCUUCGGCAAUGGGGGGAACCCUGACCGAGCAACGCCGCGUGAGUGAAGAAGGUUUUCGGAUCGUAAAGCUCUGUUGUUAAGGAAGAACGAGUGUGAGAAUGGAAAGUUCAUACUGUGACGGUACUUAACCAGAAAGGGACGGCUAACUACGUGCCAGCAGCCGCGGUAAUACGUAGGUCCCGAGCGUUGUCCGGAUUUAUUUGGCGUAAAGCGAGCGCAGGCGGUUAGAUAAGUCUGAAGUUAAAGGCAGUGGCUCAACCAUUGUAGGCUUUGGAAACUGUUUAACUUGAGUGCAGAAGGGGAGAGUGGAAUUCCAUGUGUAGCGGUGAAAUGCGUAGAUAUAUGGAGGAACACCGGUGGCGAAAGCGGCUCUCUGGUCUGUAACUGACGCUGAGGCUCGAAAGCGUGGGGAGCGAACAGG
rnacentral:rRNA from 1 species